rfam:Izhakiella sp. D4N98 NODE_21_length_73826_cov_108.679_ID_3919, whole genome shotgun sequence.
GAAUUGUGUUUAACGCUCGUCAAUGACGAGACUUAUGGAAG